GACGAACGCUGGCGGCGUGCUUAACACAUGCAAGUCGAACGGAAAGGCCCUGCUUUUGUGGGGUGCUCGAGUGGCGAACGGGUGAGUAACACGUGAGUAACCUGCCCUUGACUUUGGGAUAACUUAAGGAAACUGGGGCUAAUACCGGACAGGAGCUCCUGCUGCAUGGUGGGGGUUGGAAAGUCUCGGCGGGUGGGGAUGGACUGGCGGCUGAUCAGCUAGUUGGUGGGGUAGUGGCCCACCAAGGCGUCGACCGGUAGCUGGCCUGAGAGGGUGACCGGCCCCACUGGAACUGAGACACGGGCCAGGCUCCUACGGGAGGCAGCAGUGGGGAAUAUGGGACAAUGGGCGGAAGCCUGAUCCAGCCAUGCCGCGUGGGUGAAGAAGGCCUUCGGGUUGUAAAGCCCUUUUGUUGGGAAAGAAAAGCAGCAGGUUAAUACCCCGCUGUUCUGACGGUACCCAAAGAAUAAGCACCGGCUAACUUCGUG
rnacentral:rRNA from 1 species